rnacentral:misc_RNA from 1 species
GACAUUUUUCAUUAAUUGAUACAAUAUUUCAUUAGUACAACUAAUAAGAUAUAAAAUACUAGAUAAGCAAUCGAAAUUUGAUUUGUCGAUAAGAUUUUUUGAGGAAAAGAUUAUGGACAUCAAAGGAUCAGUGAUCUUUAACUGGAGUUUUCAUACGCAAAUUUUUGAUAACUAAUUCAUAUGCAUUGUAUGCUGCCCUAUUCCUUGCAGUAGCUUUAUUUUGACUAGAUUUUCCCUUUGCAACAAAUUUUCCAUCGACAAUACAUUCAAAUUCUCCUGUUUCGUCCCAAUUAUCAACAAUAUUUAUCGUCAAUUUAUUCUUUUGACAAAGCUCCAUAAUUUUAGUAAUUGGUUGAAUUUCAAGUGUUUCUGGAGUUAUUAGUGGCUGCAACAUAUCUUUUAUCGCCUGCCAAGUUAUAUCGAUGGAGAAAUUACAGUCGAUAUAUAUUGCGCCAAUUAAGGCUUCAACUAUAUCUGCAAGAACUUUAGGGGGAUUAAUGCAACCUAAUGAAUUCAAUGGGUACUCCAACGUAGCACUUCUGAAUUCUUCUACUCUCAUCUCUUUAAAUAAAUGAUUUUGACAACGUAAAUGAUCUUGCAAAUUGUAUUUGAUGGCCACUCUAGCAAGUUUUUCAGUAUCCACAUUGACACUUCUCAAAUCUGUGAGAUCCUCUGAAGAUAAAUCAGAAUACGCAAAAUAAUGCUCUUUUGCUAUCAUUAGACCCAGAACCGAAUCACCUAAAUAUUCCAUUCGAUCAUUAGAUGCCCAAUUUUGUGGGACGGAAGGAUGAGUAAAAGCUUGAUGUAACAAGUCGGGAUUCUUAAAUUUGUAUCCUGUAAUUUCUUCUACUAGCCUCUCUCGUUGUUGAAAACUUUGUUCUUCCAUGGCUGUCCAUGAAGAAAAAGAAAAGGCAUAGACCAUAUGGGAAGUAUAGUCCAU